rnacentral:tRNA from 1 species
GCUGGUCAAAGCGCCUGUCUUGUAAACAGGAGAUCCUGGGUUCAAAUCCCAG